rnacentral:rRNA from 1 species
UGGCGAACGGGUGAGUAACACGUGGGUAAUCUGCCCUGCACUCUGGGAUAAGCCUGGAAACUGGGUCUAAUACUGGAUAUGACCUUUCUCCUUAUGGGGUUUGGUGGAAAGUUUUUCGGUGUAGGAUGAGCCCGCGGCCUAUCAGCUUGUUGGUGGGGUGAUGGCCUACCAAGGCGACGACGGGUAGCCGGCCUGGGAGGGUGAUCGGCCACAUUGGGACUGAGAUACGGCCCAG